UACAGAGGGGCAAGCGUUAUUCGGAAUUAUUGGGCGUAAAGGGCGCGUAGGCGGCAUGGCAAGUGGAUGGUGAAAUCCCUCGGCUUAACCGAGGAACUGCCGUCCAAACUGCUUCGCUUGAGACCGGGAGAGGUGAGUGGAAUUCCCAGUGUAGCGGUGAAAUGCGUAGAUAUUGGGAGGAACACCAGUGGCGAAGGCGGCUCACUGGACCGGUACUGACGCUGAUGCGCGAAAGCGUGGGGAGCAAACGGGG
rnacentral:rRNA from 1 species